AUAUAUAUAAUUAUUUAUUUAUAUAUAAAUAUAAAUUAAAUAAAUUAUAUAAAUAUAAAAUAUAUAUAUUCAAGCUGUUAUCGAGCCGAACACGAGUGAGCUGACCCCAGCUCGUGUUCGGCUCGUUUAAUAAACAAGUUGAAAAAUUCGGCUCGUUUACUAAACGAGCGAAUCGAUCUCGAGCUCAUUUCGAGCCGAACACGAGCUGGCUCGCGAUCAGCGAGCUAUAUUGUCACUCCUAUGUGGAACGCAAUAUUACAUACAGAAACAAACAAGAUAUUUUUCCAUCGGCGUUUCUCACCGCACGUAAAGCAAUCUCUCCGUAAUUCCAAACGAAGACUAAAAUAGCUAAAAAAUGACGGCAAUCCCAAACGAAGCCAAAAAUAGCGAAAAAAU
rnacentral:lncRNA from 1 species